CGGGGCGUGGCCCAGCCAGGUAGGGCACCUGCAUGGGGUGUAGGGGGUCGCCAGUUCAAAUCUGGCCGCCCCGACCA
rnacentral:tRNA from 1 species